AUGCCGGGAGCGGUGCAGGUGCAGAGCCUGGCCGGUCUCGACCCGGCCGGCCUCACCGCGCUGGCCCGUUCGGCCCGGGCCCGGCACG
rnacentral:tRNA from 1 species